UUGCCAGUGAAUGUGUCAGAUUGGUGAAAAUAUUGAUGGAAGAGUACAGAGAGAAUCAGAGAAGUGACAGACGGCGAGGACGGUGAGAAACAAAUUUCGCCGCAUGGUAAAAGAACCCACAAAGUGUAUCGAAAAUCCUACACUACUGUUCUUCCUGAUUUUUCUCAGUCGAAUCGGGUCUUAAUCGUUUGGCAUAUUCUCAAUCUAUUAGAUCUUGCCUACACCUUGCGCCUUAAGAAAGAAAUGACAUUGAAAGAAAGGUGAAUUUUCCGUCCAAAUUUAGUCGGAAAUCUCGAACUUGAAAAAUCCUUAAUGAUUUUGGCCACCAACUAUAUGAACAAAUCACUGGAAAAAUUGUUAUUUCCGGCGGCAUACGGAGAAC
rnacentral:lncRNA from 1 species